rnacentral:rRNA from 1 species
UGAGGAAUAUUGGUCAAUGGGCGCGAGCCUGAACCAGCCAAGUAGCGUGAAGGAUGAAGGUCCUAUGGAUUGUAAACUUCUUUUAUAGCAGAAUAAAGUGACCCACGUGUGGGUUUUUGUAUGUAUGCUAUGAAUAAGGAUCGGCUAACUCCGUGCCAGCAGCCGCGGUAAUACGGAGGAUCCGAGCGUUAUCCGGAUUAUUGGGUUUAAAGGGUGCGUAGGCGGAAAGAUAAGUCAGCCUGUGAAAGUUUGCGGCUCAACCGUAAAAUUGCAGUUGAUACUGUUUUUCUUGAGUGUACAUAAGGUAGGCGGAAUUCGUGGUGUAGCGGUGAAAUGCUUAGAUAUCACACAGAAUAUCGAUUGCGAAGGCAGCUCACAAAGCCAUUAUUGACGCUGAGGCACGAAAGUGUGGGGAUCAAACA